UACUCUAAAUCGUGCACAUGACU
rnacentral:piRNA from 1 species